UUUAUUACAUUAGGUCUUGAGUUUGGAGGGUUGGUGGUGUUUUUUUAAAAUUUAUUAUUUUUUUUUUUUGAACCAGAGAUUGCACAGUUUAGGAAGAAUGGUGUAAUGCUGAAUUACUUAAAGACAGAUGGAGGUAGUGCUGUGUCCUACCACGUAGGUGGAAGCCAGCUAAGAAUGAAGGAAAUGCAAGUUUGACUUGAAGCACAUGCUUACUGGUGGAAUUGGGAUCCUCAUAUUUCUUAGGGAGGAACUGAGUGAGCUGUGACAAAGCACACGUGUCCUGCAUGGGUUGGCAGUACAACGAGGCAAUCCCCAGCUCAGGCUGAGCUGAGGGAGCCCCACAUGACUGGAAGCCUGGGCAGGUGUUAUUAUUACACAGCAUCCCCAAAAAUCAGACUCAGGGUGGAGCAGCUGAUGUAAUCUGCAACUGGGCUGAAGAAGCGAAAGCCUCCCCAGGCAACUGUGUCAUUCCCAGUUGGGUGAUUAUUUCCUAAUAUACAGCAGCAGAGAGGUCCAGCUGGCAGCCUCCUUCCAGGCUGCAGCACAGCUCCCUGCCACCAGCUCUGACCUCCGUGGAAACACUCAACAGCUGCCAGGGCAGAGGGCAAAGCCCAAAAUCAAACAUUUUCUCAGCCAAGCGCGCUCCUGUCUCGGCAGCACCUCUGCAAGUUGUUCCUGUGCUGGCAUCCGAUCCCCAGUUUGGAAAAGCUGGGCUGCCCUAAAAUACCAGCGGCGAGCAGGGAUGUCUCUGAUCGCCUUGCAAUGCACCCUGCCCAUGCAAACGUGUAACUGAAGAGCUGAGACAUCUUACUGAUAGUCCAUUUGCUGCAUAAAUCUCAUUUAUUUGAAUUUCCCUGCUCUCAUCAAAAGCCGAACUGUAGGACCUGACAACUGGCUCCUGAUUUAUAUUGCAUGUGCUGCAGAUGGCUCAGCUGUGGCACGCAGCUCGCAUGCAGCUGCUGGGUAUUUUUUCCCCCCUUACAUUUCCAACCCUGGGAAGCAACACAUGGCUAUCUUUGGACAGCUCUCGAGUCAGAGUCCGGCCCUGCCAACCUCUGUAGUCAGGCUUUUUGCCAAUGAGUGGGCCACAGCACAUGCUGCCGUGCUGUGAAAUAGCACAGCCAGGAGCCAUGCAGCUGCCCUGCGGGUGCAGGCCUAGAGACCCCCCCCCUUUCUCCCACCAAGUUUCCCAACUGGUGUGGUGUUGUGUGAUAAAGUUGUGCUCAGGGAGUGCCACUGCCCAGGGAAGCCUACUCAAGCCUUGAGUCACAGUAACGUGUGCAAUAAAAAGCCUUCGUGUGUUAGCUGAGUAAGUCUGGAGGCUUUCAUUGACAAACAGGGCUGGUAGCAUCCUCGAGCAGUCAUCUAAUCCAUCUUACUAUCUCCCAGCAUGAUCAACACUCCUUAGCAUAAUAAAUGCUUAAGCAAAGCAUUUCUGAUCUGCUCUUAAAAGCCUCAAGUGAUUAAGAUUCCGUAAUUGACAGGUCAUGACCUCCAGUGCCUUACAAUGGCUUCCUUGUUAAACUGCUCUCUAACGUCUGCCCAGAUAUGUUGUUUCUAAGACUAUGACUUUUUCCCUUCCACAACAGGAAAAAUUACCUCUUUGAGGCAAUUUCCCCUUCGCCUGUUUAACCUAUGCGUAUAUACAGAAUAUACAGCUCAUCCACCUGUUCUUGCCGUCUUGAUUUUUAGCCCAGAAAGAACUGAAGAUAAUAGUCAUGAAACCAAGGCAACUAGUACUUUCCUAACUUUCUAAUUAAAAAUCCUGAAGGUAAACAUCAGCUCUCUCUGGCAUCUGGAAGAAGACAGAUCCCACAGGCGUCAGCUCUAAGAACAUCCUUUAAUUCUUCCCCAUCAAGGUGAGGCAAGGAAGGUCACAAGGUGAUGAGGUUGUAAUGCUUUACUUACUCUGUCUUCCUGAGCUUGCAGCUUCUUAGAAAUCAGAAAUGCACAUAAUCAUCAUAACCA